rnacentral:rRNA from 1 species
CCUACGGGAGGCAGCAGUAAGGAAUAUUGGUCAAUGGGCGCAAGCCUGAACCAGCCAUGCCGCGUGCAGGAAGACGGCCCUAUGGGUUGUAAACUGCUUUUGAACAAGAGAAAACCUCGGUACGUGUACCGAGCUGAUAGUAUUGUUAGAAUAAGCAUCGGCUAACUUCGUGCCAGCAGCCGCGGUAAGACGAAGGAUGCAAGCGUUAUCCGGAUUCAUUGGGUUUAAAGGGUGCGUAGGCGGCCUGAUAAGUCAGUGGUGAAAUCUCUCAGCUUAACUGAGAAACUGCCAUUGAUACUGUCGGGCUUGAGUACAGAUGAUGUGGGCGGAAUAUGACAUGUAGUGGUGAAAUACUUAGAUAUGUCAUAGAACACCGAUUGCGAAGGCAGCUCACAAAACUGUAACUGACGCUGAGGCACGAAAGUGCGGGGAUCAAACAGGAUUAGAUACCCUGGUAGUCCGCACCGUAAACGAUGAUUACUCGUUGUUGGCAAUAUGACCGUCAGCGACCAAGCGAAAGCGAUAAGAAUCCACCUGGGGAGUACGCCGGCAACGGUGAAACUCAAAGGAAUUAACGGCUUGAGGAGNGCGAGACGACACGAGGGAGGAGG